CACUGUCUGUGCAGCAUCACUGUGAGUGCUCUGACCACCUAGGGAGAGGGCAAAGACUGAGGCCAGGUCUCAGGGUUCCUGCAUCCUAACAGCUUGCUCAGCUGGACAGCACCUUUCCUAACCACCCCAGUACACUGCAGUACUGUGCCCGGCUCUGAGGACCACCCCUAGGAUGGACCAUACCAGCUGGAAUAUCUUCAGAAGGAAACCAGGAUCCAGAAGUGUUUUAGGGAAACAAGUACGCUAAGCUCAGAGACAAAAGCUUAAGCGGCAGAAUCCACCCCUGCAUCUGAUAGUAAUAGGUGGACGACCGCUCCGCUGUGGCACACCAGGUGCUGAAGAACACUAAGUGAAGCCACAGAGAAGCCUUCCAGGUUGCAAAGUGAGUCCUCAAGGCUGGCCUCUCCCCCAGAGCUCACGUAGGAGGAACUUGUCGGUGAGUCCGCAGGCGCUCCACUUCUCUUGACUGCUGCCAGAUCGUGCAGAGCCUGGCAGUGUAAGCCGAUAAAGAACUGUACCAGGGGGAGGAGAUGCACGGCCCCAGGAAGCUGGCAGAGUGGGAAGGCCCUUCUGCCUCCCUCUGCUUGGUCUCCAUCACAUGAGCCUUCAUCCCUGGCAACCAGAUUCAAUCCAGUAAGUGCCAGGUUCUGUGCUUCUCUCAGGGCCAAGUGGGGAAAUGACCCAUCGCGAGAACCUGUGGUCCUCAGGCUUGAAAUCCCAGUCAAGGUACUAGCAGCAAAUACAAAAGAAAACAUACAAGUGUGAGGCGGAGACAAGGUCAAGGGCCCCAAACAACCUGUCUACCGAAUUCUCUAGUUUCCCCACCCAGCACACAGACCUCCCAGGCUGGCCAGGACCAGAAAGGAACUUGCUUCCUGGGAACUCCCAGCUUUUCAGGAGUCUGAGGUUUACCUGCCAUACCCCAGUGGCUGCAGUAGGGUGCUGGUAGGAGCCUCAGAACAACUGCUCAGGAGGUGGCACAGACCUAGGGAUGACCCUGGGAUCAAAGGCUGCUUCAGGAGAAGGUUUAUCAAAAUGGAACCUGCAAAAGACAAGGUGAUUCUAGAAGGUUCUGACAAGGGAGGCCUUUUCUGUGGCUUCAGAAGGAAAAGUGAGGAUUCCUUGGAUGCUAACUGUCCUCUAAGCUGCCACUAAGCCCCACUGAGAUGCCUGUGGGUGCUGAGGGCUCUGGGAUGUAACUGCUGUAGUCUUCUGCUAAGUCACAGACUGUUACUCCCCUGGCCCCUCUGAAGGACUGCCUGGGGUGCUGCUUCUCAGAGGCAAUUCUACCAUAGCACUGCAGAGGAUGCCCAGAGCUGUGCAGGCCUCCUGCACAUGGAGCAGGGCUUCUGGUACCUUGAGUGUUUGAUCUCUGCAUCCAGCUGUCAACAAGUCUUUUCUGCGACUCUUCUUGCUUAAUGGGGUCACCUCCCAGAUUGUGGCUCUUAUUCUCUACAACUAAAUAAAAUGUGAAUCAAAACUUGAGCACAAAAGCACAGGCAUAUCAAAACUCUUGAACGUACCGAGUUUCAUUUUUUUCUCUCUCUUUUUUUUUUUUUUAAGUAAACUCUACCCCCAAUACGGGGCUUGAACGCACAACUCUGAGAUCGAGAGUCACGUGCUCUAUGGACUGGGCCAGCCAGGCACCCCAUAAUGAAUUUAAAACAGAGAUUGUUCUACUUACUCAACCUUGGAUCAAAUCAAGAACCAGAGCAACUCAAGAACCCUUGCAUCACUGCCUCCCUCAUGAAAAACAGGAACAGGAACAGGAACAGGAACAGGAAAGGAAAGGAAAGGAAAGGAAAGGAAAGGAAAGGAAAAGAAAGUUUGCUCCACUUUAAAAGGAGGCAAUAACAUGAAAGCAGUAACCACGAACACUUAUUAUGUGCCAGACAAACCCUGUUCUAAGAGCUGUACCCAUGUUAGCUCAUCUGUUCCUCAAAGCAACCCGAAGAGGAGGUGUUAUCUCCUCUAUUUUACAUAUAGAGAAACUGAGGCACGGGUUAAGGGACUUGCUCCAAUCACACAAGCCAGUAAGUAGUGUGACCGGGACUCCUGUCAGGCUGGUGGGCUCCAGUGCCUGCCCACAACACCAUCCUAUACUGUUCCUGUAGUUGCCAGGUACCAAAAAUGUGAGUGGCUGAGGUCCUCAGAGGUGGCAUGAGGGCCAACGACUUGAACAGGUGGAUGGUGGUAGGAGAGAGGCGAUGUAUUGGAAUGGUAAGAUAAACUGACACAGUAUAUUUUCAGAGUAAAAACCUGCCAAUGCUAGACUGUGUCCCUCUAUAAGGCAGUAGCAUGCCCUCAGUCUGGACUGAGCUGUAUAAACUCAAGGCUGCAAGGAACACAGGUACCUGAUACUAGCUGUGUUUCUGGCACAUCAAUGGAUGGUGACUGGGGAGGUUUUAAAAUAUGCCUGCAAAUUCUACAAACACUUCUCUUCAAAAGGUGCAGCCUAGUUUCCUUCCCGUUGAACAUGGUUUCUAACAAACAGAACGUGGCAAAAGUGAUGCUAUAGGACUCCCGAGGCCAGGCCAUAAAAGGGAUAGCUUCCACCUCGCUCUCUCUGGUUUGUUAGCUCUAGAGGAGGCCAUCCACCAGGUUAUGACAUCACCCAAGUAGCUCCGUAGAGAGACCCACGUGUGGAGAAGAACUCCAUUGCCAGUCAUGUGAGUGAGCCACUCUGAAUAGAUCCUCCAGCCCCAGACGAGCCUUCAGUGAUUCCAGUCCCCACAGGGACAAACCAUCUCCUCUUUAUCAGAACUGUUGUCCCACAGAACCAGGAGGAGUACUUAUUGUUGUUUUAAGCCACAAGGUUGAAUAAUCGGUUACACGGCAACAGAUGACAGACAGACUGACUUACCCUCUCUGCCCACCAGGGACUUAUAUCCUGGCUCUGUCUGGAAGGGGUGGGGAAGGGACAUGUUAGCACUAAAAGACUCCUUUGUAGGGAAAGAUGGUUUUCCGAAUUGUGGAGAACAUGCUUCUGGCUUUAUAGCCACAGAAGGGCUUUUCCUAGGACUGGAAAAAGUUAACUAUGAAAGCAAAGUAAUGAUUCUGCUAAAACCACUUAAAAUACCUGGUUAUAAAACUUCUAACACAUGUUAAACUUUUCAUGUUUAAAUGUUUAAAUGGUAAACCUGCUCCGGCCCAUGGCCGAUGUCUAGGUGCUUUGACCAAAGGUUUUUAUCUGUUAUAUAUUAGUCAUUCUUUGUCAGUCAGGAUAGCAGUGCAAAACUCAAGGCAUUUUGAUCCAGAUGGUGGAAAAACUCUUUCAUUUCUGUAUUCUUCUAAUAAUCACCCCAAAACAUUGGCCAUAAUUCCAUUACAACUUCCAAUUCCACCAAAAUCUUUUUAAUAUGGAACAGCCUCUUAUUUAAUCGUUCCCAGGGGCUGGAUUCAAAGAUUUUCAGUAGAAAGAAGGUCUAUUAAAAGGCGUGUUGUUGUGUUUUGCAACUUGAAAACAGCCCGUUCCUCAGUGCCAGGGGUUUUGUGUUAGGGAAGCAGUCUUAACCCCCCCCCCCCCCGAGUGCAUCAGACAACACCAAGAGCCUUCUGUCAGAGACGUGUGAUGAGGUGGGGAUGGACCCCUCUGCUCUCCUGUCUUAUUUGGACUAAGCUAGGCAAAAAGAGUUUAAUUUCAUACCCUGUCCCUUAUGAACAAAGGCAGCAGAAUGUUCAAUAUUCAGAAAAAGACACGCUGACCCACACUGUUCAAAAUUCAAGGCUGAUAUCAACGGUGUGCCAGACUUCUCUGGCAGGCAAGGCGCAGGACAGGACCAUUAACAAGCUGAUCACAUCUACAGCAAAGGCAGGGGCUAUUAGACAAAGGUCCCAAGGCAGUAAAUGAGAAAAAAUAUUCCAAGUAGUUGGGACUGAAAUACGCUCACACUUGGGGCAAAACUGAUUAUUUGAAACACAUUACAUAAAAAUGAAGACUGGGUCACCCCAAAAGUUUAGAGAGCAUCUUCCCAGCCCUUUUUGAGUCCUGAGUAUAAAGUCCUAUAGAGGAAGCCCUUCUAGAGUGUGAGGCCUUUAUGCGGUGAUGCACCAAACCAUUCAAGCCUCAUCUAAACCACCUUUGAGGCCUUCAGGAAAGAGGAUCUAUGUCCAAAUGGCAAAGUUUAAACAGCCUUCGUUCAAGACUAACCUGACAUUGUUACUCAGACUUUCUAAUAAACCAUGCAAAACAACUCUCCUUCCAGCAUCAUCAUUACCUGGCAUGGAGAAUGGAGGGAGCAGCCAAUUUAUUUGCUCGUUCACUGCUUUGAAGCUUUGUCCUUAAUUCAUUCAUCUCAGCAUCUUUAAAUUGGAGUUCGGACUGCAAUGAUUGGAGCUGGAAGGCAAAAGCAACACACUCAUGGUAACCCAUCAUACGUGCAAAAAUAUCUCUGGGCUUCAAAGUCUCAAGCUCAUAAAGGAAAACAAACAAUGAGAAAUAAGUAUAAAAGUUUGCUGUGACAUAGAUACCCUACAAUAUCAAGCUUUCCCCUUCCUCCUCAAAGACAGCAUGGUAUUCUGGAAAGACAUUUUGACCUGAACUGUUGCAAGGUAGUUUGUGAAGGUUCAAAUACCAUUUACUCGGCCUCUUUAAACUUUGGCUUAUCUGUAACACAAACCCCUGUCUUUGUGGUUAGGGGGGAUUAAAUAGGAAGGAUGAAUGUGAAAUGCCCAGCCUAGAGCUUGGUGAGGCGCCUUAUCGCACAGUAACAUGUUAACCUUUUAAUGGACAUAAUGGUGCACAAUUCCAGGUCUUCUUGAAAUUUUACCAAAACGCCACGCAGCACGGGGAGACCUGCUCCAGCCCAUGGCCAGCAGUAACUGCUAUUAUUCCCUGAGCACACUCUGUGCCUGUAUGGCACCAGUCACAGCACCAGUCACAGUAAGUGUGGGGCUGUUUAAGUCUUACAGCAACCCUUCUAGUUAUUUCCUGGGACAGAUAAUGGAAAUGAAUCACAGAGCUGAAGUCACUACCCUGAGGUCGCCAUUUAUCAUAUGUGAUAAAGCCAGGAUUCAAACUCUAGUUUGUCUGAUUACAACUCCCUUGCUCUUCAUCAUGGAUGCGGAAGGAAAACUACUGCUGUUAGUGCUGGGCACAGGAGUUUUUGACAUCCCAUCUAAUCUGGGGACCUUAUGAACAUCUGUAAAAAAACAGUUCCCAUAUACUUUUCUGGAUCCAACACUUUCCCACUUUUGCCAGUCAAUGCUGAAAAGAAUCACUCUUGAAAGCAAAUUAGAGAAAGAUCUAGUAAGCAGUAUAGGUAUUUUCCAACCUAAGAACGUGAUUCAAACUCAUAAAUGAUCCUUAUGAAAUGACAAACAGAUCCUGCCUCCCCCUACUCCCCACCCCUCAAUUUUAAGAGUAUCAUCUAAAGGCUGAAAAGGUGCUGUGGGAACCUCACUGGUCAGAACUUGGUGAUCUGUUAUUCGACAAUAUUUACUGAGCACCUAUACCUAUACCUACUGAGCACCGGGCACAGUCUAGUCUCUAAAGGUACAGUGGUGAGCAAAAUGGAUACAGUCCUUACACUCAUGAAGCUUAGAGGACAUUCAAAAAUAAUUAAAUAAAUGUAAAAUUACAACUGUGAUAAGAGCUACACAAGAGAACAAGUAUAGGAAAGCCAAGUAUAUGGAUCCAACUGGAAUGACUGGAAGGCUUCCCAAGGAAGUGAUGACUGAGGUGAGAGCUAAACAAGCAGGAAUUAAGCAGAUGAGUGGGGAUGGGGAAUGGAUGGGAAGAAUACUCCGUGUAUGAGAAACAGCAAUGUGCAAUUUUUGUAAGGAAGUCGGGAGAAUUCAAGAAAUGAAGGCAGGUCAGUGUGGCUUGAACCCAGAGAGAGUGGGAAAGGGCCAGACCAUGCUGGGCCUUGUAGGCCAUGAUAUGGACUUUGAUCUUUAUACUGGAGACAGUGGGAAGCUAUGAAAAGGCUUUCAGCAGGGAUGUGCACUUGUAUCUAUGUGAGACAAAGCCAGAUUUGAGUUCUGAAAAGAUCACUCUGGCUGUGGUGUGAAGUCUGACUUACAGGGAGUCAAGACUGGCAACGGGGAGACCAUUUAGCAGAUGAUCAUCCAGAGGUAGGAAUGAUUGUAACAUAGAUCAGGGAGAAUGGUAGAGAUAAUGGAAAGAGGAUGGGUUCCAGAGAUGGAUAAAGAAGAUAAAGUUACAGGACUUGGCAAGGGAUUAGAUGUAUGGUCAAGGAAGAGGAACUGUUGCUUUGUGCCACCUGAUGGAGACCGGUAGUAGUCACGGUUGUACAGAAUAUUUGGUCAUUAAUGAACGUUUUCUGAAUGUCUGCUUUGCCAGGCACCAUGCUGGCAAUACUGGAGAAUGACUGGACUCCCAGAGGAAUGUGUGGGAUUUAAGAUGCCUGUGAGAUAUCCAAGUACAGAUGCAAGAUGCCCUCAAAACGUUUCUCCUUCUGUGAGCCCCACAAGACUUCACUCACUCCCCAGCUAGAAAGUAAGCUCCCGAAGAAAGGAGUUUUUGUCUUUUGUUCAUUGCUAAGUGUGCUGCAGUUCCUAAGGUUUUGGACACCUAGUACAAUUUACUGGUUGUAUAACGGAAUAAACCUCUUUCAUCUCUUGCCUCAGCUAGGCCCUUCUUAUGUUCAUGUGGCCCAAGGAGGACAGUAAUCUUCGUUAGAUCUAAAGCCUCUUAAACCUGUCACAAGAAUGGGUCCCCAUGGGUAGGUAGUGACGGUUCUGAUGAUGGUGGUUGUGUUCCAAGGAUCUUUGCCUAGAACCAAGAACUUGGUGGCCCAAAUUUUAACUACAGGAAAAGGUUAACUGAACUUUCUGUAUUUCAAAUCGGCUGUUUUGACAUUCUUAAUACAGUACUCCCACAACUCAAAGGACCUUUUGGAACACAACCUGUGCCUAAAUGAAGCCGUUCCUAUAUUUUGAGAACGGCAGCGUGGGUGCAAGACACUGGGUCAGCGGUCGCCGUGGGGUUCUGAAGCCACAGCCAUCACGUAGUUCUGGCGAGAUCUGCACCACCCUCCGGGAAAAGGCCCCGAGGCGCACUCACUGGACACGUCCCGAGGAGCGGCCGGGCACUGGCUCAGGGCCUGCGACGCGAGGGUGUCGAGUUCCUCCAGGUCGUCAGCGGUG